rnacentral:rRNA from 1 species
UACGAAGGGGGGCUAGCGUUGCUCGGAAUCACUGGGCGUAAAGGGUGCGUAGGCGGGUUCUUAAGUCAGAGGUGAAAUCCUGGAGCUCAACCUCCAGAACUGCCUUUGAUACUGAGAGUCUUGAGUACGGGAGAGGUGAGUGGAACUGCGAGUGUAGAGGUGAAAUUCGUAGAUAUUCGCAAGAACACCAGUGGCGAAGGCGGCUCACUGGCCCGUUACUGACGCUGAGGCACGAAAGCGUGGGGAGCAAACAGG